rnacentral:misc_RNA from 1 species
GUAGGUGAACCUGCGGAAGGAUCAUUAACACAAUACAUUUACCCAAAUGUAUUUUAACCCCCCUUUGCAAACUUGUUUCAUAAUGUUCUCCCGGAUGUGACAGAGGCUGCGUCAUGCCGCUUCUUUGCAUCUGUGGUUUUCAAACCUUUUAACCCCUUGAACUGUCUUUGACUGAAACUCUGAGCUCUUGUUGUCUUUGUUUUUUUGGAAACAAAAAAGACUGCCAACAUUUGCUCUGCCAUAUAUCAAA